rnacentral:misc_RNA from 1 species
CUCUGAUUAAAAAUACUAAAUAAAUAUAUAUUUACACAUAUGCCUACAUUUUUCGAAAAGCUCCUGUCAACAGAAUAGAAAUUUGAGUUCAAAUUGCGCUAUUCACUAUUUACAAACAAUGAAUAAUAUAGUUGGAUUAAAAGCUAAAACCUCUAUUUGGAAAGGUUGGUUUGAUUGGCUACCGUAUUUUUUUAAAAGAAAAAGAAAGAAAGAUUUAAUAUGGGAAGAUCGAAAAGAUAAAUUUGAUAAAAUUGAUGAAAAGAAUAAAUAUCGCAGAGAUAUAUAUAUAAAUUGUAGAAUACUAUUCGAAUAUGAUUUAAAUAUAUCAUUGGCAAAACGUAUUGAGUUAAUCAAGUGGGUUAACUAUCUCUUGUAUUCGUAAUUGUUUAAGAAUUUUUGUAACAUGUUUGUAUAUAAAUAGAGAAAUAGGUAUACUUUGUUACAUGGGUGGUUUAGAGGCUGGUAAUGCGUUGUCAAUCUAUAUUAGCAAAUUUCUAAAAAUGCUAGAAUCAAAGGAUAUUGAUCAUAAUAUUAAGAUAGAAAUUAUCCGAAUGUUAAGUACGAGUGUUUGCGAUAAUAAGACUGUUCAUGAAAGUCUGAUGAAUAAUAAUGCUAUUAGUCUAUUUAUUGACAUAGUAAAGGAAGGGGAUAAAUUGGCGAGGUGGAUUUGCUAUACUAUAUUACUAAUGACAAGAGAUAAUGAUGAUUUAUUGGUUUCCCUACCAGAUUUCCCUGAUUUUUUUCAAACUAUUAGCUAUGCUGAAUCAUUAAGCUGGGAAGGCUGGCAAUAUAAUAUAGCCCGUGUUUUACUGCAGAUUGCAGGCCUACAAAAACCUAAUUUUGAUCUUUUACGAAGUAUCGAAACAGAUUAUGGGUAUUAUGACGAAACGUUAGAUAAAAGAGCAGAUGGCAGACGUCGUAGACGUCAUAAAUAUCGUAAUACCGAUGCAAAACCUAAAAUAGAUAAUGAUUAA